UGCCUCCCCUGUAAAACUCUGGGGGCGCGCCCACGGACCUCCUUUCCGUCCACGCACCUGCCCGCCGGACGUCCAACCGUUUUGUGGAGCGCAAAACUGAGACCUGGAAGCUCUUCCCCCAUCCCAGAGACUAAGGACUUGAAAAGAACGCGAUCACGAUACCCUUACCCCACCUUACCGAAUUGAGAAUAAUUCCGCCUGCAGUGACUGAUGGAGCAGGAACAAGGCACUGCGGAUCUAGCGAGGGCCAGAUACUCCUUACCGGUCCCAGGCCCCUGGAAAACUGUGAUUGAAGCCUGUCCUUCCAGGAAAAUGCGCCCACAGGAUUCCGGGGGUUUGAUUUCACUUCUCACCGGCCGCCUGAACCCAACUCUUCUCCACUUUCUGGAAGUCUCGCUUGUCCAGGACGACCGGUCUACCGCCUCCCCGUCCUGACGGGCGGCCACGAUGAAGCUGGACCCACCGGUCCCGGCACAGAAUGUGGCACGUGUCGGACAAGGAUUUUUGAACUGAGUUUAGAACAGGGAUUCUAACUCUGUUUUUCUGCUCAGGUUUUAAGUGGGCUAAGCACUUAGUUCUCAGAUGAUUUCUAGGUUGCUGGUAACGCACCGUAAGUGUCAGGGAGAAGAGACUUGGCUGGCAGCCCUUUCUCAGAUGUUCCAAGCAAACAUGCAAACGGUUCUCAAACCUUAGCCUGGUCUCAAUGCCCGUCUUCCCUGAAAGCUGUUUUCGCUUUAUAACCACAGGACGUUUCAAAUCAAAUUCCAGAAAAUGCCUCGCAAUUAAAAUUUUACACUGCCUGUCGCUACGUGCCAGCUUUGCUACUGCUUUUCGUCACUGCCCAUUAUAAAUAAUGACCCUGGCAUGCGUUUUGUUACUAGAGCCAUUAACCCAACUAACCAUUCCGCUCACAUGAAACAAGCCGUGCAUCUGCUAAGGUGACUUGGUGGGUAGAUUUCUUUUUCCUUUUGUUUUUUGUUCUUUGUUUUGUUUUUUUUUUUUUCCUUCUGCAGAACCCGAGGACACACAAUAAAAUGAGCAAAUGGAAAUUUCA
rnacentral:lncRNA from 1 species